UAGAUACCCUACUACACUAAGAGGUAACAACAAUAGCUUAAUUAUUUAUAGUUAUGUUCUUGAAAUUUGAAGAAUUUGGCGGUGAUUUAGUCUUGUCAGAGGAAUUUGUUUUUUAAUCGAUAAACCACGUAGAAUCUUGCUCGUUUUUGUUUUCAGUUUAUAUACCGUCAUUAGCAGAUAAUCUUAUUAGAGAGAAUAAUUAUUAAACUUUAUAGGUAGUUAAAAUUAGAUCAAGGUGUAGCUAAUAAAUGAGUUAAAAUGGAUUACAAUGAAUUUUAUUUAUACGGAUUUGUGAAUGAAAAUUGACAUUAAAGGUGGAUUUGAUUGUAAUGUUGGUUUAAUAAGCUUAAAAGAUAUAGGUUCUAAAUCAUGUACAUAUUGCCCGUCGCUCGCGGGAAAAA
rnacentral:rRNA from 1 species